UGGCCCAAUGGAUAAGCCGCUGGUCUACAAAACCAGAGAUUCUGGGUUCGAUCCCCAG
rnacentral:tRNA from 1 species